rnacentral:rRNA from 1 species
UACGUAGGGUGCGAGCGUUGUCCGGAAUUAUUGGGCGUAAAGAGCGUGUAGGCGGCCAAACAGGUCAGCUGUGAAAACUCGAGGCUCAACCUCGAGACGUCGGUUGAAACCGUUUGGCUAGAGUCCGGAAGAGGAGAGUGGAAUUCCCGGUGUAGCGGUGAAAUGCGCAGAUAUCGGGAAGAACACCCGUGGCGAAGGCGGCUCUCUGGGACGGUACUGACGCUGAGACGCGAAAGCGUGGGGAGCGAACAGG